AAGUUAAUUACGGAAAUGCCAUGGCCGGCCUUCCUGGCGGCGGCGGCGAAGCUCGUCGUCCUUGCGGCGGCCGCCGCGACGGCGGCCAACGCGGCCUCCUAUGCGCGGUUCCGCCGGCGGAACCUUCGCCGCAUCCCCAACCCCAUUGACGACUCCGCCGACCCCAUCGCCGACUUCUGCGCCCUCCCCUCCUCAUCCACCGCCGCCUCAGAAGAUGACGAUUUCUUCUUCGGGUUAGCGACAGCGCCUGCACAUGUUGAAGACAGGCUGGACGAUGCUUGGCUUCAGUUUGCGCAAGAGCAUUCGGGUGGUGAUAAUGACUCCAUGCCAAACCAGAUGCCAGCCAACGCAGUGGUGGCCUCUGCUGGCGGCGAUGGAGGAUCUCAGCCCUCAUCUAGGCCAAGAGGGGACGAAAAGGGUAGCGAUGGAGAUCAAAGGAAGCCUCUUAGGGUAGCCAUGGAGGCUAUGCUUAGGGGUUUUGAAAAGUUCUCUGAGAGUGCAGAAUCUAGCGACACUGAUAGUGGCAGCCGCAAAGUUGCUGCUUGGCACAAUGUUCCAUGCCCGCAAGAGAGGCUUAAAUUUUGGUCCGAUCCUGAUACUGAGUUGAAACUUGCUAAAGAAACCGGGGUUAGUGUUUUCCGCAUGGGUGUAGACUGGACGAGGAUAAUGCCCAAGGAACCAACUGAAGACUUCAACAACUCCGUUAAUUUUGCAGCACUUGAGCGGUACAGAUGGAUAAUUCAAAGAGUUCAUGAGCAUGGGAUGAAAGUAAUGCUUACUCUAUUUCAUCACUCGCUUCCACCUUGGGCUGGGGAAUAUGGGGGGUGGAAGAUGGAAAAAACUGUUAAUUAUUUCAUGGAUUUUGUAAGGCUUGUUGUUGACCGGGUGUCAGACUUAGUGGACUACUGGGUGGUUUUCAAUGAACCACAUGUGUUUGUGAUGCUAACUUAUUGUGCUGGUGCUUGGCCUGGUGGAGAUCCUAAUGCAAUUGAAGUAGCAACAUCUGCUUUGCCAACUGGUGUAUAUAAUCAAGCUUUGCAUUGGAUGGCUGUUGCGCAUGCUGAAGCCUAUGACUACAUUCAUUCAGAAAGCAAGAAUGCAAUGAUGCCAAUAGUUGGUUGUUCACAUAAUGUAUCGUUUACACGACCAUAUGGUCUAUUUGAUGUUGCGGCUGUCACAAUAGCUAAUUCAAUGACCCUAUUCCCUUACGUCGAUAGCAUUUGUGAUAAAUUGGACUUUAUUGGCAUCAACUACUAUGGGCAGGAGGUAAUAUCAGGACCUGGUCUAAAGCUCGUCGAUAGUGAUGAGUACAGUGAAUCUGGUCGUGGAGUUUAUCCCGAUGGGUUAUUCCGCCUCCUACUUAAGUUCAAUGAGAGAUACAAGAGCUUAAAUAUACCUUUUAUCAUCACUGAAAAUGGAGUUUCUGAUGAGACUGAUCUGAUUCGUAAGCCAUAUAUACUGGAGCACCUAUUAGCCAUAUAUGCAGCCAUGUUAAUGGGUGUACGUGUGCUUGGCUAUCUAUUUUGGACAACAUCGGAUAAUUGGGAGUGGGCUGAUGGCUAUGGUCCAAAGUUUGGGCUUGUUGGUGUUGACCGUGCAAAUAACCUAGCACGGAAACCUCGCCCUUCAUACUAUUUAUUCUCCAAGGUUGUUGCAACAGGAAAAAUUACGGGACAGGACAGAAUGUCUGCUUGGAGGGAACUGCAAGAAGCUGCAGUUCAGAAGAAAACACGUCCAUUUUUCAGAGAAGUUGAUAAACAUGGUCGGAUGUAUGCAGGAGGUCUAGAUCGGCCUAUUCAGCGAAGUUUUGUAUUGCGGGACUGGCGAUUUGGCCACUAUGAAAUGGAAGGCUUACAGGAUCCUUUGAGCCGCUUUGUAAGAUGUGUAAUUAGACCAUUUGGACGCAAGAAGAAGAUUCACUACAUUGAGGACGAUGCAAUUUCUUACUCUAUGUCUCCUUAAGACAUGCUACUGUAGUUGCUACUCAAGUUCAAUUUCUUUGGUUGCAACAUAAAGCGACAUCAAGUUUUGGAUAAUCAUCCUCUAGAUGAAGCACAUAGGAAGUUCUUGAAAUGGAAGCUUCACCUUUUGCAGUUUAAUGUACAUGGUUAUAUAGGGUUCACCGUAGUAGUACCUAGACCUUGCAUGUAAGAUCAGCAAAAAAUCCUCAGCGGAAGAUGCAGCGAGACAAUCGUCAUUAAGUUGAUUUAACACCUCAUGUAGCUCGGCAGGUUCUGUUUGGUUAGAUAAAUGAAUUCAUGCCUGUCUGGGUUGGUGUAGGAUGGGAGGCAACAACGGCAGCAGCUGGGUCAGCAGUGGAUACAAUUGAAGUUGCAGGCUGAUAUAUAUCAUGAUGCUGACGCAGAGGACAGUGGCAAGAUAAUUUAUUUUCCUUGGUUUCACCUUAUCUGUGGCUAUGGAAGAUAGUCAAGUUUUGCAUACACUGACUGAUAAAUGCAAACAGCAGCAGAGCAGGCAGCGCUGCAUGGGGGGAAAUAAAUAUCAGCAUGUGUGUGGGCAGGACUGAGACGUACAUGAUGCAUAAUCUGUACUAGCAAUAUUUGGGGAGUUGCAUCACCUAAUGACUGUUGUUUUGUUAUUGUGUUCUAUUUUCUACUUUGGUGGUAGAGAAUGUUCUUCUCAUCCAAAAGAAACAUAGUUUCUACUUUUGGUGUCCUUGCAUAUUGCCAUUGUUACUAUCUGCUUAUGUAGCGAGAUGUGAUUAUGCAUUUGCGUUAUAUCUACUUAAUGAAGUUAAGUAAAAAGUCAGCUCCAGU